AGUAACACGUAGGAACGUACCCCAAAGUGAGGCAUAAGCACCAGAAAUGGUGUCUAAUACCGCAUGUGCUCUUCGGAGUAAAGCUACGGCGCUUUGGGAACGGCCUGCGCAUGAUUAGCUUGUUGGUGAGGUAAUAGCUCACCAAGGCGACGAUCAUUAGCUGGUCUGAGAGGAUGACCAGCCAGACUGGGACUGAGGCACGGCCCAG
rnacentral:rRNA from 1 species